UUCUCUCUUCGUUCUCAUCUCCUUCUUCUUGUUUUUCUGUUCUUCUUCGUUUUCUUCUCUGUCGAAUUCAAUUCAGAGGAUUGAGUUAAAUAUCGUGAGUAGUUAUUAGGAAACUUGUUAACUUAGUUGGUUAGACACGAGGGUGAUAGUGGUGUGUUUGUUUGAGCACGGUAAGAUGAUGAUAGGGUUGCUGCUGUUAAGUGAAGUUAGGUUUUUAGUUUGAGAUGAAUAAAUCAAGAGGGGAUGAUUAUUCAGUUGAGAACCUUGAUGAUUGAUAGAGGUGGUGUUGAUUAGGGUUGAUGUUUCAGAAUCGAGGAAAAAGGAAUUCAAUUCAGAUUUUCUUUAAUUAAUUCUGUUUUGUGUGAAUUUUAUUUAUAGCUUGAUCUUUUAGAGAUGGGUUUAUCUUAAAUUGAAGUUUAAAUGGAUGUAUUAGGUUUAAUUUUGAUUUCAGGGAAUUAGGGUUUAUACUGUUAUUCCCCAAACUAGAAAUUAGGUUUCACUCUAAAUUAAGGUUAGAAGAUUUGAAGAUGGGUUUGAAGAUGUUUAAAUGGGAUUGAUGAUUGUAGGUUGUUUUACUAAGAGAAGCUUGUAGUAUUGAACACUUAUGCUGGUUGGUUGGUUGUAAUAGCUGUAAUCCAUAUAGUGUUACUGCUGAGAUGAUGCAGCUGGAUUUGUAAAUGGUGUUUGAGCACCUGUAUCAAAGAUUUGCGAUAAGAGAUGAAGAUGAAUGGGUUACUGUUGGUAGGUUGUGAAAAGAUGUUGGUCACAAUCUGUAAGGGUUUGGUGUUUGUUUGCAAGAGACUAAGGAUUGAAGAGACAGGGUUGCCAAUAUUGGAGUUAGAUGAUUGGGUUAAGGGAUGCAUGAACCUGUGCAGGUGAAGAGUGAGUUGAAGUUCUGGUGGUAAUGAAGAUGGAUUUAAUUGAGUAGUUUUUAGAGUUUCAGUUGUAUGGAUUUGUCGUGUUGGUGGUUUGAGAAGGUGUGUUGGCUACAAGAUGACUUGGUGGUGCUCUAAAGCUGAGAGUGUGGACUUGAUGACAUUGGUGCAGUUGAACUAAAAUAGAAAUGAGUUGCAGGUUGGGUGCUGCUGUUAUAGACUAGUUGGUGUGGCAAUGACAGGUGGUAAUAGUUUAGGAAGUUACAGAAUUUUGGAGAUGGUGACAAAAUUGGUUAGUUGAUGCUAAGAUGGUAUGAAGGAAGGUUCGAUAGAGUGUGAAGAAGCUAAGAAGAUGUUGAUAUGGAGAGUGCUGCAGUUGAGGAGGUGGUGUGUUGGCUUUGUCAAAAUGGUGGAUUGCAAGGAAGAGCCGGAUUAGUGAUGAAUUUGUGGAAGUCACCAGUGAAGCUGCAAACUGUAAAUGUGUUGGUGGUUUUGGAAUGUAUGAAGCUUUUGACAAGAACUGAAGUUAAUGAUGUUACAAUUGAAAUGGAAUUAGAAACUAGUUGUAGCUUAUAGAUUUGUGUAUAGCAGAAUGGUGUAUGUACUUGUUUGUUUUUAGCUUUGAGUUUCUUUUCUUUUCAGUCAAAUGCUUAACUGUUUUGUUUCACUUAA